rnacentral:rRNA from 1 species
UGAGGAAUAUUGGUCAAUGGACGUGAGUCUGAACCAGCCAAGUAGCGUGCAGGAUGACGGCCCUAUGGGUUGUAAACUGCUUUUGUGCGGGGAUAAAGUGUGCCACGUGUGGCAUAUUGCAGGUACCGCAUGAAUAAGGACCGGCUAAUUCCGUGCCAGCAGCCGCGGUAAUACGGAAGGUCCGGGCGUUAUCCGGAUUUAUUGGGUUUAAAGGGAGCGUAGGCCGGAGAUUAAGCGUGUUGUGAAAUGCCGCGGCUCAACCGUGGCACUGCAGCGCGAACUGGUUUUCUUGAGUGCGCGCGACGCAGGCGGAAUUCGUGGUGUAGCGGUGAAAUGCUUAGAUAUCACGAGGAACCCCGAUUGCGAAGGCAGCUUGCGGGAGCGCAACUGACGCUGAAGCUCGAAGGUGCGGGUAUCGAACAGG